AUUUGCCUCAUUUAGAAUUUGGAAAACUUAAACUUGGAAGAAGACAGAAAUGUUGAUGAAGGUUUGCGCUUUGAUUACUGUUGUUUGCAUGAUUGCAGAGGGAGGAUUGCCGUUACAAAGGUUGCAAAAAUCAAAAACCAUGGACGCUAUUUUACUUGAUCAGUUGCGUCGGCACUGCAGUAAACCACCGCCAAAAGUAGAAAUGUCUGGAUUGGAUUUCCUUAAUCCAAAAUAAUCACAACGUUAUGAUUA